AGUGUCACCGUUGAGUACUUUGUGUUUGUUAUUGUUUUAGGAGGUUUUAGAUAAAGAAAUAUAAGUAAAUAUGAUGAAUAAAAGCGACAUUAUUACAUUGAAGAAAUAAAAUAAAUCGUUUUAACAAUUAAAUACUUAAGUAUGCUGUACGUAGUGAGUACAUUCUGAUUGAAAUAAUGUCUGUAGGUUUAUAGAAAAAAGUGCGAGGUGAAAUCAGUGAACCAUGGAGGAAUUUAUCGAUAUGAUCCGACAACUGCCUUGUUUGUGGGAUACAGGCUGUAAAGACUAUCGAGAUAUGAGAAAAAAAGAUACGGCGUGGAAGCGAGUUGUCGCUGAAUUAAAAUGCAAAGACAUACCAGAUAUCAAAACAGCAAAAGCAGAAUGGAAAAAGUUACGGGACAGUCACCGAGACUCCUUAAAGAGAGCCCGGGCUUUAGCAAACGGACAAGACGCAAUAAUUAGCAACAAGUGGAAAUAUGCUGACAUAAUGGAAUUCCUUCUCCCGUACAUGAAAACGAGGAAAAGAAGAAGAUGCAUAACAGCUUCAAGCGAUGAAGACAAAGACUCUUGUUCGUCACCUGUGAACACUUUCUCGGAAAUACAACCGUCUACUUCAAACACACUGAAUUUAACCCCGGAAUCUCACAUCGAUAAAAUAGAGACCACCCUACCAAACGAACAUAUGUUCAAGAAAAGAAAAAUUGAUAAUGAAAUUGGAGAAAUUAUGAUAGACAUGGAUAGAAAUAAUUGUCAGUAUGGGGAACGGAAUAAACAUCCUUUGGACUCCUUCUUUGAAAGUAUGUGUGAGACCACAAAGCAGUUCCCGACAUGGCUUCAGUACACGGUCAAGAGAAAAAUAUUUAAUGUCAUUUCGGAAGCUGAAGAUACCUUUGAAACUUACAAAUCUCGAGAAUCAAUUUUUUAAUUUACAUUUUUCCUACAAAAGUAAUGUCUAUAGAAAUAUACCUUAAAUGAGAAAA